rnacentral:rRNA from 1 species
UACGUAGGGGGCAAGCGUUGUCCGGAUUUAUUGGGCGUAAAGAGCUCGUAGGCGGUUUGGUAAGUCUGGUGUGAAAUCUCCACGCUCAACGUGGAGGGGCCACCCGAUACUGCCAUGACUGGAGUCCGGUAGAGGAGUGUGGAAUUCCCGGUGUAGCGGUGAAAUGCGCAGAUAUCAGGAGGAACACCGGUGGCGAAGGCGGGUCUCUGGGCAGUAACUGACGCUGAGGAGCGAAAGCGUGGGGAGCGAACAGG